rnacentral:rRNA from 1 species
UACGUAGGGUGCAAGCGUUGUCCGGAAUUAUUGGGCGUAAAGAGCUUGUAGGCGGUUUGUCGCGUCUGCUGUGAAAUUUCGGGGCUCAACCCCGAACUUGCAGUGGGUACGGGCAGACUAGAGUGUGGUAGGGGGAGACUGGAAUUCCUGGUGUAGCGGUGAAAUGCGCAGAUAUCAGGAGGAACACCAGUGGCGAAGGCGGCACUCUGGGCCGGUACUGACGCUGAGGAGCGAAAGCGUGGGGAGCGAACAGG